rnacentral:lncRNA from 1 species
AUUCUCCGCCUCUUCUAGGGUAGGCAGGUGUUCCCGAGUCCCUUAGGGGGGGUCCCCGCGGCGGCCUGAGAUGCUCGGCGCCAGGUUGUCGCGCCCUUGAGCUGGCUGAAGUAGACAUUGACUCUGGAGAGUCUGCGUUUUUCCUGGUCCCAGAGCCGUGGUCCCGAUACUGCGCUUCCCGCUCCUCCAGUCCCAGCUCCCAGGCUCCGUCUUCUCCCGCUUGGCGCUGGAGAAACACCGGAAGAGAGAGUCGCAGAGUGACUGCUGUGGCCCUGCGACCUGACUGCCACCUUCCAGGACUCUAGCCCUGGCUCCUUCUAACCUUCCCGCCCCUCAGUGCCCCAGAGAGGCUGGUUUGCGGACAAUUAUUCAUCAGCCGGAAGAAAAGGAGGUGCCAGUGUUAGGCGCAGAAGAGGGUUGGACCAGAAAAGCUGGAGAGGGGCAAGAGGGGAAAGAGGGGGAAGGGGGAAGGCGGAAGGCGGAAGAAGUUGGGAGGGGUAACAGCUCGAGCUUUUCCUCUAGCGUAGUUUCUCUUCUCUCGGUGCCGCCCCAUCUGCUUCUUGCCUCAGUUCCCCACUCGCACCCGUGCACCUCUGCGGCAGGCGUGUGAAAGGAAUGGGAGGGGGGGCUUUUGGUCGGGAUAUCUGGUCCUCCAGACCCCACAGCCUUGGCUGAGAACUUACUUAAGCCCACUCCAACUGACUUGAUAAAUGAGAAUCUUGACCAGCCCACUGGUAGGUAGAAAUGAGGGACGUCAUGUAUCCCUGAAUGGAAUAACCCGAAACCGCAGGUCCCGUGGAUGUGGGAAUCCACAGCACUGGCUGCGCUCCUAAGGCUCCUAAGUCCACUUCCGAACCUCAUCUAAGACCCUGAAAGCCAGACUAGGGACACAUUGGAUUAUUAUUAUUAUUUUUUUUAUUUGAGACAGGGUCUCGCUCUGUCGCCCAGGCUGGAGUGCAGUGGUGUGAUCUUGUCUCACUGCAACCUCCGCCUCCCGCGUUCAAGCGAUUUUCGUGCCUCAGCCUCCCGAGGAGCUGGAUCUACAGGUGCGCACCACCACGCCUGGAUAAUUUCUGUAUUUUUAGUAGAGACGGGGUUUCACCAUGUUUGCCAGGCUUGUCUCGAACUGUUGACCUCAAGUUAUCCUCCCGCCUCCACCUCUUAAAGUGCUGGGAUUACAGGCCUGAGCCUCUGCGCCAGUCCUACACGUUGGAUCUUUUCCCAGACCUCCUCCUCAGACGUGGAGCGUACAAAUGAUGCUCCAUCGGUUACUCUGAUCCUGACUUUGGGACUGCCAGAUAAAACUGGGAGAAACCCUACAUUUACUCUUACUGUAACGUAUUGGCUUGAAACUGCAGGUCAGAACCCAUUUAUGUUGAGACCAAAAGACUUUUUUUCCAAGUAGAAUGAAAUAGAAUAAAAUACAAUUGAAAAUACUUGCCUGCAUCACAGGUAAUGAGAGUAACUAUAGUUUCAUGAAACCGUUGUUUCAGUUAAAUAUGUUUUUGCGUGUGUGCAUGUGUAUCGGGAGGAGAUAUGUAUUUCAUAUAUAUAUGUAGAGAGGUGGAAAUCAACAACAAAACUCCAUAAUUUUUCUUGUUUUCUAACAGUUCUUGAUUUUGAGUAAAAAUAAUUCUUUAAGAACAAAAUUUUGAGCCAGCUAACGAAAGAUCAGAGUCAAGCAGCCUCUCAUUGGGGCCUGAAUAGAGGUUCAUCUUAUUUGGCUUUUUCGUUUUUUUCCUAUCUUGUGGACUCCUUUUAAGGCCCAGCAAGGAAUUACCCUCCCCAAGUUUCCACUCUCUGCUUGGUUCAGCCAUUCAGCUGUCUCUCGGGCUCUUUGAUUAAUAAAAAGUCCAGUAGAGCUAUUUUAUCCUAUGCAUGUGUGGGAAGAGGGCAAUGCCAGUGAUUCUUUCCUGAUUUGACAGAAAAUUCACAAAUCACGUUACCUUCUGAAGAUAGAGAUUUUAAGCUCAAACAUUAUCACCAGAGAACUGAAUUAUUAAGAAAGAUGAGUGGUCAAAAGUACAGAUGUUUUACAGAUUAAGGGUCAUUUUGUCAGGUCCUGUCCAAAAUAUUUGAAGUCUAGGGGUUUGAAAAAUUGUUAGAAAUAACCAUUUAUGACAACAGUUUUCAUUUAUUGUUCUCUCCAGCUUCAGGAGCAGGGGAGAACAUUUUUUUCCUUCUUACCUUGCUGAGAAUUUUUUCACCAGGGUUUCAAGGCUAAGAACUGAAAUUCCAGCAUUGACAUUGAAUUAAAAAGAAGCAAGCCCUUUUAGGAAGUCAAAUUUUAUUAUAUGAGAUGGAAUGUAAUAUUGAGAUUACUUAUUACUUAGGCAUGGGAUAGGGGGGCUUUUAACAACAGACCAAAAAAAAAGUUGGAAGGAUAGGAAUGAAAUAAAGCAAACUUUCAUUAUUCAUAGAUGAUACAAUUGUCUACAGAGAAAAAUAAUCUAAAACAUAAGAAUUAAGAGUUUGGCACAGUGGUUGGCUAAAUAUAUAAACAAAUCUAUUGCAUUUUCUAUAAAAACAAAAAAGUAGAAAUGUGAUUAACUGGUUUAUAUAACAAACUUACAGUACAGUUGACCUUUGAACAACAUGGGCUUGAACUGUGCAGGUCUACUUAUAUAUGAUUUUCUUCUGCCUUUGCCACCCUUGAGACAGCGAGACCAACCUCUCCUCCCCUUCCUCCUUCUUAGCAUAUUCACCAUGAAGACAUGAGGAUGAAGACCUUUAUGAUGCUCCACUUCCACUUAAUGAAUAGUAAAUAUAUUUUCUCUUCUUUAUGAUUUUUUAAAUAACAUUUUCUUUGCUUUUCUGAGACAAGGUCUUGCUCUGUUGCCCAGGCUAGAGUGC